UACGGAGGGGGCAAGCGUUGUUCGGAAUUACUGGGCGUAAAGCGCGCGUAGGCGGUUUUCCAAGUUAGGCGUGAAAGCCCUGGGCUCAACCCGGGAAUUGCGCUUAAUACUGGAUGAAUUGAGGCCGGGAGAGGGUAGUGGAAUUCCCAGUGUAGAGGUGAAAUUCGUAGAUAUUGGGAAGAACACCAGUGGCGAAGGCGGCUACCUGGACCGGUACUGACGCUGAUGCGCGAAAGCGUGGGGAGCAAACAGG
rnacentral:misc_RNA from 1 species